UGGGGAAUAUUGGACAAUGGGCGAAAGCCUGAUCCAGCCAUGCCGCGUGUGUGAAGAAGGUCUUCGGAUCGUAAAGCACUUUAAGUUGGGAGGAAGGGCAGUAAGCGAAUACCUUGCUGUUUUGACGUUACCGACAGAAUAAGCACCGGCUAACUCUGUGCCAGCAGCCGCGGUAAUACAGAGGGUGCAAGCGUUAAUCGGAAUUACUGGGCGUAAAGCGCGCGUAGGUGGUUCGUUAAGUUGAAUGUGAAAGCCCCGGGCUCAACCUGGGAACUGCAUCCAAAACUGGCGAGCUAGAGUAGGGCAGAGGGUGGUGGAAUUUCCUGUGUAGCGGUGAAAUGCGUAGAUAUAGGAAGGAACACCAGUGGCGAAGGCGACCACCUGGGCUCAUACUGACACUGAGGUGCGAAAGCGUGGGGAGCAAACAGG
rnacentral:rRNA from 1 species